UGAUCAGGAGCCACCUGUCCAUGCCCCAAGACCGGAAAGGCAGCAGCAACCACCGGGAGCACAGGGCUGUCCUCGGUGUGCUCUGCUGCGGAGAGACAGAGACCAACUUAAAGAGCGCCUAGCGGUCGUGGA